AUUGAACGCUGGCGGCAGGCCUAACACAUGCAAGUCGAACGGUAACAGGAAGCAGCUUGCUGCUUCGCUGACGAGUGGCGGACGGGUGAGUAAUGUCUGGGAAGCUGCCUGAUGGAGGGGGAUAACUACUGGAAACGGUAGCUAAUACCGCAUAAUGUCGCAAGACCAAAGAGGGGGACCUUCGGGCCUCUUGCCAUCGGAUGUGCCCAGAUGGGAUUAGCUUGUUGGUGGGGUAACGGCUCACCAAGGCGACGAUCCCUAGCUGGUCUGAGAGGAUGAGCAGCCACACUGGAACUGAGACACGGUCCAGACUCCUACGGGAGGCAGCAGUGGGGAAUAUUGCACAAUGGGCGCAAGCCUGAUGCAGCCAUGCCGCGUGUAUGAAGAAGGCCUUCGGGUUGUAAAGUACUUUCAGCGGGGAGGAAGGGAGUAAAGUUAAUACCUUUGCUCAUUGACGUUACCCGCAGAAGAAGCACCGGCUAACUCCGUG
rnacentral:rRNA from 1 species